rnacentral:lncRNA from 1 species
UAUACACCCUUGCUAGGGUUUCGUGGAGACUUGAUUCUCUUGUAAGCCGUCAUAGGCGUGUAACCCAAAACUCUUGAGAUAGUGAGAUUGUUGCUGGCUGGUGCCCGUGGUUUUUCCCCUUCACAUCGAAGGGGUUUUCCACGUUAAAUCGUGUGUCUCCUCUGUGGCUUGAUUCUUUACUUCAUAUUUCCAUAUGUCGUUCAUAACCGAAGCAGCUAAAUGGCAACAUGGAAAAGAG